GUGGGGAAUUUUGGACAAUGGGCGAAAGCCUGAUCCAGCCAUGCCGCGUGCAGGAUGAAGGCCUUCGGGUUGUAAACUGCUUUUGUACGGAACGAAAAGACUCCUUCUAAUAAAGGGGGUCCAUGACGGUACCGUAAGAAUAAGCACCGGCUAACUACGUGCCAGCAGCCGCGGUAAUACGUAGGGUGCAAGCGUUAAUCGGAAUUACUGGGCGUAAAGCGUGCGCAGGCGGUUAUAUAAGACAGAUGUGAAAUCCCCGGGCUCAACCUGGGAACUGCAUUUGUGACUGUAUAGCUAGAGUACGGUAGAGGGGGAUGGAAUUCCGCGUGUAGCAGUGAAAUGCGUAGAUAUGCGGAGGAACACCGAUGGCGAAGGCAAUCCCCUGGACCUGUACUGACGCUCAUGCACGAAAGCGUGGGGAGCAAACAGGAUUAGAUCCCGAGUAGUCC
rnacentral:rRNA from 1 species